AUUGAACGCUGGCGGCAUGCCUUACACAUGCAAGUCGAACGGCAGCAUGAUCUAGCUUGCUAGAUUGAUGGCGAGUGGCGAACGGGUGAGUAAUAUAUCGGAACGUGCCCUGUAGUGGGGGAUAACUAGUCGAAAGAUUAGCUAAUACCGCACACGACCUGAGGGUGAAAGUGGGGGACCGCAAGGCCUCAUGCUAUAGGAGCGGCCGAUGUCUGAUUAGCUAGUUGGUGAGGUAAAGGCUCACCAAGGCGACGAUCAGUAGCUGGUCUGAGAGGACGAGCAGCCAGACUGGGACUGAGACACGGCCCAGACUCCUACGGGAGGCAGCAGUGGGGAACUUUGGACAAUGGGGGCAACCCUGAUCCAGCAAUGCCGCGUGUGUGAAGAAGGCCUUCGGGUUGUAAAGCACUUUUGUCCGGAAAGAAAUCGCACUUACUAAUAUUAGGUGUGGAUGACGGUACCGGAAGAAUAAGGACCGGCUAACUACGUGCCAGCCGCCGCGGUAACAC
rnacentral:rRNA from 1 species